rnacentral:tRNA from 1 species
GAGAGAGGCAUGCAGCAAUGAAGACUGCUAAUCUUCAUAACUUUGGUUGGACCCCAGAGCUCACUCA